rnacentral:rRNA from 1 species
UACGUAGGGUGCGAGCGUUAAUCGGAAUUACUGGGCGUAAAGCGUGCGCAGGCGGUUUUGUAAGCCAGAUGUGAAAUCCCCGGGCUUAACCUGGGAAUGGCAUUUGGGACUGCAAGGCUCGAGUGCGGCAGAGGAGACUGGAAUUCCUGGUGUAGCAGUGAAAUGCGCAGAUAUCAGGAAGAACACCCGUGGCGAAAGCGGCUCUCUGGAACGGUACUGACGCUGAGACGCGAAAGCGUGGGGAGCGAACAGG